GACGAACGCUGGCGGCGUGCCUAAUACAUGCAAGUCGAGCGAAUCAAUAGGAGCGCAGCUCUUUUGGUUAGCGGCGGACGGGUGAGUAACACGUGGGCAACCUGCGUGUAAGACUGGGAUAACUUCGGGAAACCGGAGCUAAUACCGGAUAAUCCUCUUCCACUCAUGUGGAAAAGCUGAAAGUCGGUUUCGGCUGACACUUACAGAUGGGCCCGCGGCGCAUUAGCUAGUUGGUGAGGUAACGGCUCACCAAGGCGACGAUGCGUAGCCGACCUGAGAGGGUGAUCGGCCACACUGGGACUGAGACACGGCCCAGACUCCUACGGGAGGCAGCAGUAGGGAAUCUUCCGCAAUGGACGAAAGUCUGACGGAGCAACGCCGCGUGAGCGAUGAAGGCCUUCGGGUCGUAAAGCUCUGUUGUUAGGGAAGAACAAGUAUCGGAGUAACUGCCGGUACCUUGACGGUACCUAACCAGAAAGCCACGGCUAACUACGUGCCAGCCGCCGCGGUAAAAC
rnacentral:rRNA from 1 species